rnacentral:rRNA from 1 species
UACGGAGGGUGCAAACGUUGCUACGAAUCGAUUGGGCGUAAAGCGCACGUAGGCGGCUCGUUAAGUCGGAUGUGAAAGCCCUGGGCUCAACCCAGGAAGUGCAUACGAAACUGGCGAGCUUGAGUAUGGAAGAGGGUCGCGGAAUUCCCGGUGUAGAGGUGAAAUUCGUAGAUAUCGGGAGGAACACCAGUGGCGAAGGCGGCAUCCUGGACCGGCAUUGACGCUGAAUAGCGAAAGCCAGGGGAGCAAACGGGG